rnacentral:miRNA from 1 species
AUUAGGUUGGUGCAAAAGUAAUUGCAGUUUUUGCAUUAUUUUUCAUGGCAAAAACCACAAUUACUUUUGCAUCAACCUAAUA